AAAGAGUAGGAAAGAAUGCACUAGUCACUGAUGACCAGGACUAAGUGUUGAAUGUUCAAAAGGCACAUGUCGGUGAGUCGAAGAACAACGGUCAUGGUCAUCUUUUCAAAGAAUUUCAGGAACUUUGCCUACAGAAUAAAAUAAA
rnacentral:sRNA from 1 species